AUGACUUCCCUGGAUCUAAUGCUACCCCUCUAUUCUGCCUUGGUCAGACCACACCUGGAAUACUGUGUCCAAUUUUGGGCACCGCAGUUCAAGGGAGAUGUUGACAAGCUGGAAAGCGUCCAGAGGAGGGCAACUAAAAUGAUCAAAGGUCUGGAGAACAAGCCCUAUGAGGAGCGGCUUAAAGAACUGGGCAUGUUUAGCCUGCAGAAGAGAAGACUGAGAGGAGACAUGAUAGCCAUGUACAAAUAUGUGAGGGGAAGUCAUAGGGAGGAGGGAGCAAGCUUGUUUUCUGCUGCCCUGGAGACUAGGACACGGAACAAUGGCUUCAAACUACAGGAAAGGAGAUUCCACCUGAACAUCAGGAAGAACUUCCUCACUGUGAGGGCUGUUCGACAGUGGAACUCUCUCCCCCGGACUGUGGUGGAGGCUCCUUCUUUGGAGGCUUUUAAGCAGAGGCUGGCUGGCCAUCUGUCGGGGGUGCUUUGAAUGCGAUUUCCUGCUUCUUGGCAAGGGGUUGGACUGGAUGGCCCAUGAGGUCUCUUCCAACUCUACAAUUCUAUGAUUCUAUGAUUCUACACAGCUUACUAGAGUCUGUUCCAGAGCAAAACCCUACACCAAGAGGAUACCAAGACAGAAACCUAAUUCUUGAACUCACUCACCCACCCUCUCUAUUAGCUGCCAUUAAUGUUUCAAAGAGGUAUGUGAGAGGGCAGUCUGGCCUCUCCAUUCCACAAUCAUCACAUGUAGCUUUUUGAUGCAAAGCACCUCCUGCAAUUAAUACUGGUCUCUAUUCCCUGGUAUUCCCUGUAGUAACUUAUGGAUGCAAGAGCUGGAUUGUAAGGAAGGCUGAGCGAAGGAAGAUAGAUGCUUUUGAACUGUGGUGUUGGAGGAAAAUUCUGAAAGUGCCUUGGACUGCAAGUACAUCCUCCAGGAAAUAAUGCCCGGCUGCUCACUGGAGGAAAGGAUAUUAGAGGCAAAGAUGAAGUACUUUGGCCACAUAAUGAGAAGACAGGAAAGCUUGGAAAAGAUCAUGAUGCUGGGGAAAAUGGAAGGAAAAAGGAAGAGAGGCUGACCAAGGGCGAGAUGGGUGGACGGUAUCCUUGAAGUGACUGGCUUGACCUUGAAGGAACUGGGGGCGGUGAUGGCCGACAGGGAGCCCUGGCAUGGACUGGUCCUUGAGGUCAUGAAGAGUCGGAAGCGAUUGAACAAAUAAGCAACAACUAUUAUUCCUGGAGGCCACUAAAGUGGUUUCUUCUCUUGAAGUGUAUUACUAUCUGCAGAGGAACCCAUUCCUGGCAAUCCAACCUACUGCAAAGCAUUAUAUAUAUAUUUAAAACUAGGAAAGGACCCUAAUUUUUUUUUUUUUAAGGAUACACUACUAUUUUGUCUCUCCUGAGCUCGAGGCCAUAUCUUCCGGGGGGG
rnacentral:lncRNA from 1 species